GGCUUAGGAUGAACGCUAGCGACAGGCUAACACAUGCAAGUCGAGGGCGAGCACGGGAGUAGCAAUACAACUGGUGGCGACCGGCGCACGGGUGAGUAACGCGUAUGCAACCUACCUAUCAGGAGGGGAAGUAACCCGGACGAAAGUCGGACUAAUACCGCAUAAAACAGGGGCACCGCAUGGUGAUAUUUGUUAAAGAAAUUCGCUGAUAGAUGGGCAUGCGUUCCAUUAGGUAGUUGGUGAGGUAACGGCUCACCAAGCCGACGAUGGAUAGGGGAACUGAGAGGUUGGUCCCCCACACUGGUACUGAGACACGGACCAGACUCCUACGGGAGGCAGCAGUGAGGAAUAUUGGUCAAUGGGCGAGAGCCUGAACCAGCCAAGUCGCGUGAAGGAAGAAGGAUCUAUGGUUCGUAAACUUCUUUUGCAGGGGAAUAAAGUGCGGGACGUGUCCUGUUUUGUAUGUACCCUGAGAAUAAGGAUCGGCUAACUCCGUGCCAGCAGCCGC
rnacentral:rRNA from 1 species